CCGCCCGAGGCCAAGAGGUUCCCCGGCAGCGCGUACUUGUCCUUCUUGAGCAGCGUCUUCGUCUUCCGACGGGGCCGGUACUUAUAAUCCGGAUAUUCCUUCAUGUGGACGGCGCGCAGCCGCUUGGCCUCGUCGAUGAAGGGCCGCUUCUCGAGCCGUCGCCCCCGCCGCCGCCUCCCUCGUGGCCGCCGUUGCUCUCGAUGGAGGACUCGCUGCCGGUGCUCUCGCCCGAGAGGAGGCGAGUGACGCGGAGGUCGGCGCGCAGGACCGCCACGUCGUUGCCGAUGGUCAGCUCGCCCAGGCCGCUGAUCAGCUGCCCCAGGCUGGGCACCCCUGCCGUGCCCGCCGCCGCCUCCUCCUCCUCCUCCGCCUCCUCCACCACCACCGACUCCUUUCACCCCGUUACUGCCGGGGCCUCCGUUGCCGCCCGCGGGCUUCAGCUCGCCCUCCAGCAUGCUGUACAUGGCCGGCGCGGGCAGGAGAUGCGCCAGCUUGGCGGCGAAGCGAGGCGGGGGGGCCGCUCCGGCUGGAACCGACGGGAGGGAAGAAACCAACCGAGGAAUGGAUGCGCUGCAGGGAGAAAGGAAAACAGGCCUCUUGAUUCAGCUCUGUGCUCCCCAAAAGAGUUCCCCUUGAACCAAACCGCUCAAAAGACAGAGGAGCCCUAUCUGAAAAAAAAGUUGGCAACCUCAGCGCGAGUGACUUGGUCUAAAUUACGCUGAUCUGGCCCCACGAGGGUUCUGUAGGGAAGUCUGUCGGGCCUCAUUCUUUCUUAAACGAGGAUGGUAACUUAUUAGUCAAAAACACCAGACGCAGUCAAUCAAAAUUAUAAAAACACGGACUGGUAUUAUGUAGCAGAUACAAGUUCUAGCCUAUUAUUAUUAUGACUGUUGGAGUUGUUGCUGUUAAAUGUUUGUACAAAAAGCAGCGCUGAGUUGCAAAAAACGCAGGCGACCCGUGAGGAGAGCGCUCGUGAGAAUGGGCAGGGACGCGUGUGAGGAUAAAACCGGGCUUCGGAGCGCACACUUUGAAUGUUUCUCCCGUCUUUGGCGAAAAAAAAACAAACCUUGACAAAAAAAAAGCAUCUCCUUUCUUUUCCCCUGGGGAUAAACAAGCUUCGGUGAAACUCAGGCAAGGUUGAUCGGUCGGUUUUUCUCUCUCUUUUAAUUCUGGAAGCAACCGAGGGGGUUGGGAGGGGUCCGCGGAAAAAGUAAGCCAAAGUUUCCUGCCGCCCCCGCCCCACCUUCUGACUCCCUUCUAAACGUUCCUUCUCUUUUCCCUUCUUCUUCUCCUCCUCUCCCCCCCCCUCGCCACCCCCGGAUUGCCUGGGGAGGGGGAACUGGGGAGGCCGAAACCCCCCCUUUUAUGUUUUUGCAAAGGGGGAAAAUCCGUUCGCAUGGCAACCUCCUAGUAGAGCUGGCCGGGUGGCGGAGGCUGUCAAUCAAGCCCCCCCUCUGCUCUCCUCCUCCCCCUCCCCCACACACCUGCGAGGCCCCUUGAAUGAGAGGCGGAGAGGAAAAGCCCUCACAGGCUUUUUUUGGGGGGGGGCACGCAGAUGGCCGUCAGCGGUGCCUCUGGCAAAGGCGCAACCGCCCCCUCCUCCUUUGUGAAGCGCCUGACGGCCCGGAGGGAGGCUGUCAAUCAAGCCCCCCCUCUGCUCUCCUCCUCCCCCUCCCCCACACACCUGCGAGGCCCCUUGAAUGAGAGGCGGAGAGGAAAAGCCCUCACAGGCUUUUUUUGGGGGGGGGCACGCAGAUGGCCGUCAGCGGUGCCUCUGGCAAAGGCGCAACCGCCCCCUCCUCCUUUGUGAAGCGCCUGACGGCCCGGAGGCGUUUACUUCCGAGUAGUCCUUUUUUCCCCCCUGGCUAGAGUAGAGCCAACGGCACUCCUGCCUUGAGCAGAUGCUGCGGUAAAUCUAGGCAGGCUCGUUGGGACAUGAGCCUCGGCAGUUUGCGCAAAACGUUCUCCUGCUCUAGCCUCGUUUUUGCGCAUCCUCGGGUCUGAUUUGCUCCUCAUUCUUUCGUGAGUACCUUCAAAGGCGAGGCGAUUUGCGGCCCCUGAGGCUUCCACGUUUCAUUGGACUUCACAAGCUUCCCUGGACGGCUUCCUGCGCUUUCUUUGUACGGUCCUGCACUCUUUGGCGCUUUACAACAAUCCUCAGAGGUAGGCCAAGCAGAAGGCAUAGGAGAGAGAGAGACGAAUGGAUUCAAUUCCUGUUGGUGGGGCUCACGAGCCCUGAGUUGGGAUGAGGAGGUGUGACGCGCCCCUUCUCCCAUCCAGGAGUCAACAAAAGAAGGACGGGAUCCCUGUAGUCAGAGCGGGUGGGAUGAUGCUGACGGUGCUUCAAUUCAUCAUCAGCCAUCCUAGCUUUUCACAGCAGGACGGGUACUCGUCGGUUUCCCUUUGCAGAUUCGUCAGGAUCUCACUGGAGGCGGAGGCGGGGGAGGGGAGAAGACGGGGGUGGUCAAACCAGGUCGACCCAAGACAUUUCGCUGCCUGAGGCCUGUUGCCUUUAAAUUAAAUGUGUUUUUAAGUAUUGACUUUAUUUACCAUUUCUUAAAAUAUAAUGCUUAUUUAAUUCUUUUAAAAUACUUUCGUGCUUCUUGUUUGCAGCUUUUCUAUGGUCUUCUUUGAAUGAGGUAAGCGCCUUUGGAUCUUUUAAAUAGAAAGGCGGGGUAAAAAUAUUUUAACUAAUUUACUCACUGACACCCCCCCAAGACACGUGAAACGAAUCAAGAGCUUCGGACUCCGAAGACCAAAAAUCCCGAGUCCCCAUAUAGUAAAAUAAGAAUGAUUGUGACAAAUUAAGGUGUUAACCCUUUGCGGCCUGCUCUGAAACUCAAAAUCUGUGGCUUGAGGCCGUUGAUCUGCGCUGCCUCGUAGAAAGGCCGGCCUUGCACUUUGUGGAGAGAACUACCGUUUGGAAACGGUGCUUUUAAAGUACCACGAUUCUCCAGAAUCUGCGCGCGGGGGGGGCACAACUGUACCGGGUGCGGAUUCUGGGACAUGUCGUUCCAAGCAGCGACUUUUAAAAACUCUGGGAGAGAUGGCAAUAGCUAGCGCACAGAGCCGACGCGUCAGGAGGCGACUGGCAAAUCGGAGACGCGGAACGCGGUAGCAAAGGAAGACAUGAACGUGUGAAUGGUGCCGCUGGCACAGGGACGCGUGUGUAAACGAGUUGGAUAUAUCCGAGAAAGAAAUAGAUUUUGAAGGUGGAUGGUAAAGCAGUUUAAACGCUUCUCGGAGCCCUGUUGCAGGAAUGAAGACAAAAUGAGAAUAAACACGCAUGUGGAUUAUAUUCA
ensembl:lncRNA